CUUGCGACGUGCGCCAUAACCGUUGCGCCGUGGAACCUUCUGUCAGCCGUCGUCGGCGAGGAGUGAGUACUCGGUGAUCAGAGAAAAGAUGGCUACGAACUUUGAGAUACAAUGUCAGUACUUUUACGAGGAUGUCGUCUACCGUGUGGACAAAAAAGGUAAUAUCAUAUUCGGGAUCGUUAUGGAAAAUGACGAUCCAGGUUUGUCCGAGCUAAGUUCUGACAGUGAAGAGAGUCCAAGAAGGAAAAAGGGCGAAAUUCGCGCGGUCUGGCAUCCCUCCGGUAUCUCAGAAUUGGUCAGCUCAAAGAAGGUUCACUUAGCAGACAGAACACUGAUGCCAGGAGAUGUCGUACGUCGAAUGAUCAAGGGAAAAGAUACACAAAGGGGAUACUGCAGGGAUAUCGAGCUUACUGCUUGUGUUCAAGUGAUUGGUACUAAACAGGUUCUGACAAAUAUUAGAAGUGAAGAUUUAGUACCUUUGGAAGAAUUUCCAACAGAUAUAGCGGUUUGUAUGGAUUCAUGGGUUGGUGGUAUAAAAAUGGCACAUUUUAAAUUAUGGCUUACUACUCCUGAUGGAUCACGAUGUGUUAUAAAUGGAAUGGAUUCGCGUGUGAUGAGACAGUUAGAAGAGAAACGUGAUAAUGACAAUGAUUUUCCUCGAUCUUUUGAAUUUUAUCCUGGUCAAAAUUUAUGGGGACCAGUUCAAUGCCUGGAAGAUGCACAGUGGAUUACAUGUACAAAAGAAAUGAAAGCAAAAAGGAAAACUAAGCCACAAAAGAUAACAAAAGUAAUAAUAGAAAAGAUAGAAAUAGAUUGGGUAGGAGUACAUUGGCAAUGUAGAGCGUAUUCAAAGGAUGGUGCUUGGUCUGAUCAAGCUCAACCUAAAUUUGUGGUUGAAGGAGAAAAUUUAAAGAAACUAAAGUUAUUAAAUGUUUUUGAGUCUUCUACUGUGCAAGUGGGGGAUCGCAAUUUCUAUGUGAUUAAAGGUGAUGAAAAUAUCAUUACGCGAGAACAGUGGAGGAAGCAACAGAAAGACAUUUUUCAAGUUCCUAAACAUAGUCCAAAGAAAACACGUCAAAAUAUCAGUGUUACAAAACCAGUUGAAGAUAGAAAAAAAGAAAAAGGUAGUGAACAGGCAUUAGAAGAGAAUGCUCAAAAUAAUAUUAACAAUUUACAAAAUGUGAAAAGUAAUAACACCCUAAUGCUUCCAGUACACAAUCAAAAUACUGAAAGCUCAGAUGAUUGGGACACAGAGGAUACAGGCUCACAAAGUGAUAGUGCUUCGGUGUCUAGUGGAUGUUCAAGUAUGUCAUCUAUGGGUAAAAAGAAAAAAGGCCCUGCUUUAAUGACAAAAGUACUAAAGAAAAAAAAAUUAUGUAAAGCAAAGAAGAAAGUACCACCAGUUCCGCUUAUUCCAGGGACUAAAAUUGUUGUGGAGACAUUAUCUACAAACACAAAAGCUAAUGUAGUAUGGCAGGAUGGCUCUGUAGAAUUUGGUAUUCCAUCGACGCAACUGUACCCAAUUCAUCACUUAGAUGACAAAGAAUUCUUCCCAGGCGAUUUUGUGGUCGAUCAAAAAGAAGAGUCCAGAAUUUAUGGUGUAGUUCAAAGCGUGGAUCACCAAGGCCGAACAGCUAAAAUCAAGUGGUUCAAAACAUAUACUUCAAGUCAGAGCCCACAACCAACUUUACUAGAAGAACGUGAAGUCAGUGUAUACGAUUUGAAAGAUCAUCCGGACUUUCAAUAUAGACCGGGUACAUUGGUAAUUCGAAUCGCUAAUUUUGAAGGGGAGGAUGCUGGAUGCACUGCUGGCCAAGUGUUAGAUAAUUAUCCAGAGGGGCGAGUUAAAGUGUGGUGGGUCGAUGGACAUGUAAGUAUGUGUUGGCCUCAAGAUCUGUACAAAGUAGGCGAAUAUGACAGCGAUGAAGGAGAGUUAUGGGAUGACGUGUCGUCCGACGCGUCAUGGGAAACAGAAUUAGAAGAUUGUUUUAUCGCUGACACCGAUGGCACCGAACAAACAGAACUAGAAAACAUAAAGCCAAAAUUAGCCGCUCACAUUGAGAAAGCUCGUAUAUCGUUAUCCAGAUUGGAAGCGAUCUUUACUCAGAAUCCAUCGCUUCAAACAACUGACGUUAUGAGAAGAUUAUUGGAAGUCUACAAAGAUUGUCGAUAUAUGGAUAAACUUAUGGGUACUUCCUUUUUCCAUGAGAGUCAUUUCCAGGGACUUUUAGAAAGAGUUCGAGAACGCGGCCGAACAAAUGUAGCGCAACGUAUGGCGGAUCACGUGACGAGAUUAUUUACUCAUAAAUCUGACGGAUCAGAGGAGGGUAUGGAAAAAGAAAAUAGUGAAAACUACAAUAGUGUGCAAUCUAGAAGUAGUCCUUGUGAAAAAAUCAUUACCACCGUGACAGAUAUGACAGAAUCCAGUGAUCAAAAUGAUGAAAGCAAUACGAAGAACAUUAAAGGUGAAGAAUCAACUGAUCAUUUGUUCAUCAAUGCUAAUCCUAAUCCUGAAGACUCUGGAUUGUACUCUGCAGAAAAUUCGAAGAAGGAAUCAGGAUCAAGUGAGUCCAGUGGAGAGUUUCUGCUCAGUGAAGAUGUGAGUAACAUCCCUGAUCGUUCAGUGGAAAAAACCGAAUCAAAUAAGGCUAACAAAAUACAGAUGCAUAUGAGUUCUCAUAUAGCCAGUUCUCAAGUUUGCGUCAAACUUUGUACUUUGAUAAAAGCUCAACUCGUGUUGGCGCAUGCAGAGAUUUCCAAGCGAUUUGGACUAUCGAAGAUGUCGUUAUUUGAUGCUGAGAAAGGCUCGUCUCCGUUAAAGAAACAGAAGAAAGAAGAAGAAAAAUGUAUAGAAUUACAGGAAUCGUCAGAAUGUUCAAUAGAAAUUCCACCACCAGUAUAUAUGGAAGGAGAGGGAUUUUCUAUAGAAGAAACCGCGCCAGAUAGUCAUAAAUUUAAGCUAACGAUGUUUCAGCCUACAGAUCCUACAAACUUCUUUAGGACUGUGUCCAAGGAAUUGAAACUUCUGAGGAGUUCACUUCCACCAGGCAUAUGGGUGAAAGGAUUUGAGGAUAGAAUAGAUCUAUAUUCGGUAAUGUUUCGUGGACCUGAGAGAACACCGUAUGAAGAUGGACUCUUUCUCUUUGAUUUUCAAUUAUCUGCCGAUUAUCCGGCUGCUCCGCCACUUUGUCAUUACAUUUCUUACUGUACUGAUAGGUUAAAUCCUAAUCUCUACGAGGGUGGUAAAGUAUGUGUAAGUUUACUCGGGACUUGGUCUGGUCGUGGAACAGAAGUAUGGACAAGCUCUUCAACUUUGUUACAAGUUAUAGUUUCUAUUCAAGGGCUUAUUCUUGUGCCUGAACCAUAUUUUAAUGAAGCUGGGUUCGAAAAGCAGAAAGGAUCUCAACAAGGAAAAGAAAAUUCAAGAAUGUACAAUGAAAUGGUUGUGUUAAAAUUGAUUCAAGCCCAAACUAAAUUGUUAUUGCACCCACCGCCUGUAUUUAAAGAUAUCAUCAUUGGACACUUCAAGAGACAUGCAAAGAGCUUGUUACAACGCUUGGAAUUAUGGAUGGAAAUUUCUGAACAGCAUAGCAAUCAACAUCCAUUGUCUCCAGUAACACCUACUACUUUUAAACAAAUAUCCGACGUUGAUAAGAAAAUUUUACCGGAAUUCCCAUUAAUCCCAGCGUCUAGAGGCUUUUGUAUAACACUCCGUAAGACUUUGGCUACGUUUAAGGAUGUACUAAUUAAUGAAGGUAUUAUAGAAAGAGACAAUGAAAUACAGGAUUGUGAAAAUAUUAAACAACAAACAAAAAACGAGUGUCACGAUUCAUAUAAAAUUGUCGAUAAUAACGUGGUGCAUCGCAACAGUAAAAGAAAUAGUAGUGAAGAAAGUACCAAAUUAAAUUUGAAUGGUAAUCUAUCUAAGGACUGUAUUUCAUCUUCCUCCACGAAUAUUUCUUCUACGCCACUAUGCGAAACGAAGAAGAACACUUCGGAUCAUACCAUCAGCUAGCCACAAGGUAAAUCUAAAUUUAAACCUAAAAAUGUAGCUUAUAAAAGGUACAUCAUUAUUCGGUAAUAUAUUGAAUUAAUUUAUUAUAUAUUGAAAAUAUGUUCAAUGAUGUUCACGAUAUAUAUUUAUUUAUAUGAACAUUAACUACUACUAACAAGCGAUAACUUUUAAUAGAAAUGCCGCUGUCAUUGCUCCGCAGCUAGAUAUACUUGUUACUGUAGAGUAACCAUACUGCACAGUGCAGUCUCGCUAUAUGGCCCUGAAUGGGUAGAAGUGAAAAAAAUUGUGGAAAGAGACAUAUAAGUAAAAUUUCUUCUAUGCAACGCUUGAUUGUCAAAUCUACUGUUAAAAAUUUGUAAUUUCUCAAUUUCUAACUUUGAAAAUUUCUAAAUUUGAAAUUUCUCAAUUUCUAAAUUUGAAAGUUUGAAAACUUGAAAUUUCUCAAUUGUUGAAUUGAAAAGCGUGUAUGAAAGUAUGAAGAAAACUCGCUCAACUGGCCACAUAAAAGGAUGUCAUGUAUCGAGACUGUAUUGUAGUAACAUAUAAAGUAAUAAAUACGAUUAUAUAGACACGUGCGGGCAAAUUUUGUUGUUGUAUACAAUUCAUAAAUUUCUGGAAUAUUACAUAAUUAAUUUGUAAUGUUAUAUAAAAUAUAUACGAAUGAAUUAUAUAUAAUAUAUAACAUUAUUGAUAAUUAAUGGAUGUAAAAUUAAUAUUUGCCCAGGGGAUAAAAAUAUAUACGGAAUACUAAAUGCAUUUAGUUCUGUAAUUCUGCAAUAAGAGUAAAGCGUUCCUUGAAGACGCAAUAAAAACUUGACUGAAUUAUUAAAACAAAGAGGGAAAAAAUAAUAUUGAGGCAAAUAAUCAGUUACACAAAAGAACAUCUUAAAAAGUGAUAAGAAUUAAAUGAAAGGUGAAGUAACCGGUAGCAAUACAUUGAGCCAACAUGAGAACACUUUGCAAUAGAGUUAAGAGACACGAUAAUAAUAGCUAUUAAUUCUAAAUGCAUUUCAAUGAAUACACUUCAAAUAAUAAUGUCGCAGACUUCAAAUAAUUCAUUAUCCCUCAACUACCUUGAAUCAUUAUGCCAUCCACUAAUACAGUAUUUCAAGUAAAGUUACGAAGUGGUUUUGAUUGCAAAUAGGUUUUAGCUUAGAGAAACAAAAAUUCGUAUUUAGAUGAGAACCUAUGAAAGCUGUCUAACGUAAUAGACACUUUUAAUGUAACUUGAAAAUUAUAAUAACAUUAUUAGAUGCACUAUUAUCUACAGUAAUAUUUUCUUUAGUAACAAUUUCUUCCAUAUGUUUGUAGAAAACUGUCUUCACAAAGUUUUAUUCGUUUUUCUUUUAAUGUGUUAUGAACAGUUCACUAACGGAGUACUUAGUAUUAUAUACAGUAGCAGAGAAUGUUGAUAUGCAACAUACAGUAUUAUUUAUAUUUAAUUUAUUUAAUUUUAUACUCCCUAGUGUAAUAUAAAAAUUGUUUGUUUAGUAUGAGGGAGUUGUUUCUAUAAAUUUUCAAAUGAAUACAUCUAACCACAAAUAUGGUACUUAAUACGCAUAACUAAAAUUUCUAUGAAAAUGCAUUCUAGAAAACUAUAUUGCUCACAACGAAAUAACAGAGAGAGAUCAACAGUUAUGUAAUCAUUUGUAUUAAUAUGAAAUUAAUAUUGUUUGUUUUCUUUUCUGAUUAUAUCGUAUUAUCAUAUUUUAUUUAUAUUAGUCAGUAUCACCAUUAUAUUUUAGUUAUUUUUCAUCUUCAAAUAUAUAUCAUAUAUUAUGUAUAAUAAUUGUUUUGAAGGAAUGAGAUUCCACCGAACAUUAUGUAUAAAAGUUAUAUUUUUCUAAAAGUUAUGACUUAAUUCCAAAAUACUUAUGUACUUCUAAGUUAUAUUUAUACCAUACAUUUUUUAUUUAUAUACUUGCAUACACAUAUAUGUUAAUAAAUGAUCGUGAAAUUUUUGUUAUCAGAUGAUGUUUGAUCUUAUUAAUUGCUUAGAUAAAAAUAUGAAUUAAAAUUUAAACAUUACAAUGAUUUUCUGUAUAGUUCUUUUUUUUACGAUCCCGGUUAACGUACAGUAUACAAAUUUGUGUUCAGCAUCGUGUAAAAAAGUUACCUUUGAACCAAGAAUUUAACGUGUAUACAUAAUAUACUUUUGUCUGCAUGUUGUUUCAAUCGUAUCGCAGAACGAUUUAUUUUCCGUUAAAUAUUUAUCAAGAUAGAAUAGCACAAAAUUUGCGUGUUAACGAACGAAAUACAAUCACAUAUAUGGUACUGUAUAUCGAAAACUAUUUCUUCUGCAGUGAAUCUGCAGAUUUCGAUAUUCUUCAAUCAGAUUGCAGUAUCGUCAUGGAAUCGCUUGAAAAUGCGAUGGUUUUGAAAUUCUGACGCCAGGAGGGCGUACUUGACACGGGUACAGAGAUCCUACCCAUACUUACUCGAAUCUUCGACCUGCACCCCGAUAAUCUUCAUAACUACAUUCCAGCUGCAUUCUGGAUUUCUGUAUUUUUUUAAGUGCAUAUAAUGUCAAAGCGAAAGUUGAAAUCGUUCAGUAUGUUACUCUAACCAGAUAUUUGAUAUCAACUUGUAAAUAUUAUAUAUUAUCAUGCUUGUAUAAAUUAAUCUGAAAUAAACUGAGCUAUUCUUUAUA